GCAGGGCGUGGUGGCGUGCACCUGUAGUCCCAGCUACUUAGGAGGCUGAGGCAGGAGAAUUGCUUGAACCCAGGAAGUGGAGGUUGCAGUGAGCUGAGAUCAUGCCACUGCACUCCAGCCUGGGCAACAGAGCGAGACUCUGUCUCUU
ensembl:misc_RNA Metazoa_SRP Metazoan signal recognition particle RNA